UACGGAGGGUGCAAGCGUUAUCCGGAUUUACUGGGUUUAAAGGGUGCGUAGGUGGGUUGGUAAGUCAGUGGUGAAAUACUUUCGCUUAACGAAGGAACUGCCAUUGAUACUACCAGUCUUGAAUACAGUGGAGGUAGGCGGAAUGCGUCAUGUAGCGGUGAAAUGCUUAGAUAUGACGCAGAACACCAAUUGCGAAGGCAGCUUGCUACACUGUUAUUGACACUGAGGCACGAAAAGCGUGGGGGAUCAAACAGG
rnacentral:rRNA from 1 species